rnacentral:tRNA from 2 species
AUAGAGCCUUAGUAGUAUAG